AUGGAAGACCUCUCUCUCCCUCUCUCUCUCUUUAACAGUGCCAUUCAAAUAAUAGUACAUCUUCUAGAAAGACCGAGUCUCUCAGUGUGUCUCCAGUGUUCGGUUGUCUUCUCCCUUGUAACCUGUAAUUCCAUUUCCCAGAUGUCGCCCCCGCAGAGGCGGCAAUGCCCUUCUGAGAACUUGUCCGCAGACAGACUGCCGCCGAAAGGCGCAAAGCUGCACACCUAUGCGUUCGCGUGUGUUGUUCUUUGUAAGACAACAGGAAGCAGCUCACCGCGCCCGCCACCAGGGCCAGUUUCUCACGGUGGUCGGCUCUGUGUGCAGGGAGAGGCAGGGGUGAGGCUUCACACUUGCCGCAGCAGCAGUGACUUGCCUGUGCUCUCUGGGUUCAUGCAUUGA
rnacentral:lncRNA from 1 species